AUUGAACGCUGGCGGCAGGCCUAACACAUGCAAGUCGAACGGGAGCACAGAGAGCUUGCUCUCGGGUGACGAGUGGCGGACGGGUGAGUAACGUCUGGGAAACUGCCCGAUGGAGGGGGAUAACUACUGGAAACGGUAGCUAAUACCGCAUAACGUCGCAAGACCAAAGUGGGGGACCUUCGGGCCUCACACCAUCGGAUGUGCCCAGAUGGGAUUAGCUAGUAGGUGGGGUAAUGGCUCACCUAGGCGACGAUCCCUAGCUGGUCUGAGAGGAUGACAAGCAAAACUGGAACGGAGGCACGGUCCAGACUCCUACGGAGGGCAGCAGUGGGGAAUAUUGAACAAGGGGCGCAAGCCUGAUGCAGCCAUGCCGCGUGUAUGAAGAAGGCCUUCGGGUUGUAAAGUACUUGCAGCGGGGAGGAAGGCGGUGAAGUUAAUAACUUCACCGAUUGACGUUACCCGCAGAAGAAGCACCGGCUAGCUCCGUGCCAGCCGCCGCCGUAA
rnacentral:rRNA from 1 species